AGAGUUUGAUCCUGGCUCAGGAUGAACGCUAGCGGCAGGCCUAACACAUGCAAGUCGAGGGGCAGCACAAAUGAAGCUUGCUUUAUUGGUGGCGACCGGCGCACGGGUGAGUAACGCGUAUGCAACCUGCCCUGUACUGGGGGAUAACCCGGAGAAAUUCGGACUAACACCCCAUAAUGUAAUUAGAUGGCAUCAUUUAGUUAUUAAAGGUUACGGUACGGGAUGGGCAUGCGUUCCAUUAGCUAGUUGGUAUGGUAACGGCAUACCAAGGCGACGAUGGAUAGGGGGCCUGAGAGGGUGAUCCCCCACACUGGUACUGAGACACGGACCAGACUCCUACGGGAGGCAGCAGUGAGGAAUAUUGGUCAAUGGGCGCAAGCCUGAACCAGCCAUGCCGCGUGCAGGAAGACGGUCCUAUGGAUUGUAAACUGCUUUUAUUUAGGAAUAAACCCCCAUACGUGUAUGGGGCUGAAUGUACUAAAAGAAUAAGCACCGGCUAACUCCGUGCCAGCAGCCGCGGUAAUACGGAGGGUGCAAGCGUUAUCCGGAAUCAUUGGGUUUAAAGGGUCCGCAGGCGGGGAAAUAAGUCAGAGGUGAAAUCCGGCAGCUCAACUGUCGCACUGCCUUUGAUACUGUUUUUCUUGAAUUUUAGUGGAGUGGGCGGAAUAUGUCAUGUAGCGGUGAAAUGCUUAGAUAUGACGUGGAACAC
rnacentral:rRNA from 1 species